CGUGCACCGGUGGGGUCCCUCAGCCUGGCCUGCACCCUCUCGCAAUCCGGGACCCCUCAGGGGAUGUCGGAGAGCCGGUUUCGGCCCAAUCCCCGUAGGCCAGGCUGAGGGACCCCACCGGUGCACG
rnacentral:pre_miRNA from 1 species